GGUUAAGCGACUAAGCGUACACGGUGGAUGCCCUGGCAGUCAGAGGCGAUGAAGGACGUGCUAAUCUGCGAUAAGCGCCGGUAAGGUGAUAUGAACCGUUAUAACCGGCGAUUUCCGAAUGGGGAAACCCAGUGUGAUUCGUCACACUAUCAUUAACUGAAUCCAUAGGUUAAUGAGGCGAACCGGGGGAACUGAAACAUCUAAGUACCCCGAGGAAAAGAAAUCAACCGAGAUUCCCCCAGUAGCGGCGAGCGAACGGGGAGGAGCCCAGAGCCUGAAUCAGCAUGUGUGUUAGUGGAAGCGUCUGGAAAGGCGCGCGAUACAGGGUGACAGCCCCGUACACAAAAGCGCAUGUGCUGUGAGCUCGAUGAGUAGGGCGGGACACGUGGUAUCCUGUCUGAAUAUGGGGGGACCAUCCUCCAAGGCUAAAUACUCCUGACUGACCGAUAGUGAACCAGUACCGUGAGGGAAAGGCGAAAAGAACCCCGGCGAGGGGAGUGAAAAAGAACCUGAAACCGUGUACGUACAAGCAGUGGGAGCACAGGUUUACCUGUGUGACUGCGUACCUUUUGUAUAAUGGGUCAGCGACUUAUAUUCUGUAGCAAGGUUAACCGAAUAGGGGAGCCGGAGGGAAACCGAGUCUUAAUUGGGCGUUAAGUUGCAGGGUAUAGACCCGAAACCCGGUGAUCUAGCCAUGGGCAGGUUGAAGGUUGGGUAACACUAACUGGAGGACCGAACCGACUAAUGUUGAAAAAUUAGCGGAUGACCUGUGGCUGGGGGUGAAAGGCCAAUCAAACCGGGAGAUAGCUGGUUCUCCCCGAAAGCUAUUUAGGUAGCGCCUCGUGAAUUCAUCUCCGGGGGUAGAGCACUGUUUCGGCUAGGGGGCCAUCCCGGCUUACCAACCCGAUGCAAACUGCGAAUACCGGAGAAUGUUAUCACGGGAGACACACGGCGGGUGCUAACGUCCGUCGUGAAGAGGGAAACAACCCAGACCGCCAGCUAAGGUCCCAAAGUCAUGGUUAAGUGGGAAACGAUGUGGGAAGGCCCAGACAGCCAGGAUGUUGGCUUAGAAGCAGCCAUCAUUUAAAGAAAGCGUAAUAGCUCACUGGUCGAGUCGGCCUGCGCGGAAGAUGUAACGGGGCUAAACCAUGCACCGAAGCUGCGGCAGCGACGCUUAUGCGUUGUUGGGUAGGGGAGCGUUCUGUAAGCCUGUGAAGGUGGCCUGUGAGGGUUGCUGGAGGUAUCAGAAGUGCGAAUGCUGACAUAAGUAACGAUAAAGCGGGUGAAAAGCCCGCUCGCCGGAAGACCAAGGGUUCCUGUCCAACGUUAAUCGGGGCAGGGUGAGUCGACCCCUAAGGCGAGGCCGAAAGGCGUAGUCGAUGGGAAACGGGUUAAUAUUCCCGUACUUGGUGUUACUGCGAAGGGGGGACGGAGAAGGCUAUGUUGGCCGGGCGACGGUUGUCCCGGUUUAAGCGUGUAGGCUGGUUUUCCAGGCAAAUCCGGAAAAUCAAGGCUGAGGCGUGAUGACGAGGCACUACGGUGCUGAAGCAACAAAUGCCCUGCUUCCAGGAAAAGCCUCUAAGCAUCAGGUAACAUCAAAUCGUACCCCAAACCGACACAGGUGGUCAGGUAGAGAAUACCAAGGCGCUUGAGAGAACUCGGGUGAAGGAACUAGGCAAAAUGGUGCCGUAACUUCGGGAGAAGGCACGCUGACACGUAGGUGAAGUGAUUUACUCACGGAGCUGAAGUCAGUCGAAGAUACCAGCUGGCUGCAACUGUUUAUUAAAAACACAGCACUGUGCAAACACGAAAGUGGACGUAUACGGUGUGACGCCUGCCCGGUGCCGGAAGGUUAAUUGAUGGGGUCAGCGCAAGCGAAGCUCCUGAUCGAAGCCCCGGUAAACGGCGGCCGUAACUAUAACGGUCCUAAGGUAGCGAAAUUCCUUGUCGGGUAAGUUCCGACCUGCACGAAUGGCGUAAUGAUGGCCAGGCUGUCUCCACCCGAGACUCAGUGAAAUUGAACUCGCUGUGAAGAUGCAGUGUACCCGCGGCAAGACGGAAAGACCCCGUGAACCUUUACUAUAGCUUGACACUGAACAUUGAGCCUUGAUGUGUAGGAUAGGUGGGAGGCUUUGAAGUGUGGACGCCAGUCUGCAUGGAGCCGACCUUGAAAUACCACCCUUUAAUGUUUGAUGUUCUAACGUGGACCCGUAAUCCGGGUUGCGGACAGUGUCUGGUGGGUAGUUUGACUGGGGCGGUCUCCUCCUAAAGAGUAACGGAGGAGCACGAAGGUUGGCUAAUCCUGGUCGGACAUCAGGAGGUUAGUGCAAUGGCAUAAGCCAGCUUGACUGCGAGCGUGACGGCGCGAGCAGGUGCGAAAGCAGGUCAUAGUGAUCCGGUGGUUCUGAAUGGAAGGGCCAUCGCUCAACGGAUAAAAGGUACUCCGGGGAUAACAGGCUGAUACCGCCCAAGAGUUCAUAUCGACGGCGGUGUUUGGCACCUCGAUGUCGGCUCAUCACAUCCUGGGGCUGAAGUAGGUCCCAAGGGUAUGGCUGUUCGCCAUUUAAAGUGGUACGCGAGCUGGGUUUAGAACGUCGUGAGACAGUUCGGUCCCUAUCUGCCGUGGGCGCUGGAGAACUGAGGGGGGCUGCUCCUAGUACGAGAGGACCGGAGUGGACGCAUCACUGGUGUUCGGGUUGUCAUGCCAAUGGCACUGCCCGGUAGCUAAAUGCGGAAGAGAUAAGUGCUGAAAGCAUCUAAGCACGAAACUUGCCCCGAGAUGAGUUCUCCCUGAGACUUUAAGUCUCCUGAAGGAACGUUGAAGACGACGACGUUGAUAGGCCGGGUGUGUAAGCGCAGCGAUGCGUUGAGCUAACCGGUACUAAUGAACCGUGAGGCUUAACCUU
rnacentral:rRNA from 1 species